GGGUGUCGAAAGACUUAAUAAGUAAGCAGGUGCGAAGCCUGCGCUGUCACGCAGCUGUAAAGUGGAGCAAAUCCAAACAAUGCCACUGGGAAAGCUGGAUUUGUGAUGAAACUGAGCCAGAAGAAUUGCCUGAGAAAGU
rnacentral:ncRNA from 1 species